rnacentral:rRNA from 1 species
UUAUUGGAGAGUUUGAUCCUGGCUCAGGAUGAACGCUGGCGGCGUGCCUAAUACAUGCAAGUCGAGCGAAUGGAUUAAGAGCUUGCUCUUAUGAAGUUAGCGGCGGACGGGUGAGUAACACGUGGGUAACCUGCCCAUAAGACUGGGAUAACUCCGGGAAACCGGGGCUAAUACCGGAUAAUAUUUUGAACUGCAUGGUUCGAAAUUGAAAGGCGGCUUCGGCUGUCACUUAUGGAUGGACCCGCGUCGCAUUAGCUAGUUGGUGAGGUAACGGCUCACCAAGGCAACGAUGCGUAGCCGACCUGAGAGGGUGAUCGGCCACACUGGGACUGAGACACGGCCCAGACUC